AUGCCAUGAUGUCGACAUUCCCUCUGCAGGUCUUUAUAUCUUUCCCAUACGUCAUAGAGUGAUUCUCCUUCUUUUUGUAUGAAGGCGUUGAGCUCAAGCUUGAGUUU